rnacentral:lncRNA from 1 species
GUGCACCCACGUGUUCCUAAUACACAGCACGCUGCCGCCGCCAUCUUCUUUCCAGCAGGCGGCCUCCAGCACUGACUUCCCUGGCUUCCACUCCACCCAACCCCUCCUGAGAAAGGCUCAGGGAAGUUCGCUUUUUCUCCAUCCCACCUGCUUAUCCAAGCACCAUCCUCUCUCGUCCGGAUGAGAGGGAUAAGACCACUUAACCAGUUAAGUGAUAGCCCCCAGCCUCUUAGCCACUGGGACGGCGGAGCCACUGAGAGCGAGCCCGGGAUCCCCAGCCCGGGGUUCAGGGUAAACAAGAUUACCUGGGGUGGCAGGAACUGGUGGAGACAGAAGGUGUUUCCAAACUUAAUCUGAAAUUAAUUAGAAAACGAAACAAGCCAAAGGACAAACAUCUGUGAGCAGAUGAUGUGCAGAGGCAAACAAAUUGGACACAUCACAUUCCGCUUGAGCUGGGAGUAGGAUCCUGCCGGGCUACAUAGGGAGUAGCCGGAGAAGCUUUCAGGGGGAGCAGUCUCAGUGUUUGCUUCUCAGGAUCAAAUGACGGAGCAGCGCCAAGCUCCAAAGAUGCGGUCAGGGAGAGGGCUCUGCAGGGGAGCUGUGCGUCGGGGAGAUGAUCAUAAAAACUCAUCAGAACACACGCUGUUCAGGACCUGGGAGUGAGGAGCAGAGUGGACAUGGCAGCUCCCCUGACCAUGGGAGCAGGCUUCCUCGUGCACCCGGCAGGCUGGAAGGGGUGCCGGCACUGAGGUCCCGGAAGCACCCCUCCACUCCGUGUGCCCCCAGGUGGACUGCUCAGACACGGCCCAUGGAGGAGCCCACGGUCCCGGCUGAGCGCAUGCACACGCGGGACCUGCCCCUUUGGGCAUCCUCACUGGCCUCCUCACCACCCCCUCCCUUUCCCCUUCUCCACCUGCUUCCUGGGACCAGUCCCCAAACAAGCUGCUAGCACCCCAAAUCUGACCCGAGCUGGGGGCUGCUGCUAGGAAUGCAGACAGACAAGGAUGUUGGUGGCAAGCAGACGGGAUGGGGGUUGGUAACCUGGAUGAGUGAGAGACACUGUGCACAGACCUGUCCCAAAGCCGGAGAGAUCCCUACCGGGACUCUGGUGGUUCCGACUCCCGUUUGGAUCAACUGCCUGGUGACCUCAUCACCGCCGUUCCCCAGAUCCACGUCAGCCCUGAAGUCGGGGACCCCCGGCACACAGGAAGCCACACUCGGAGCAUUACCUUAGCUCUGACCCCAGCAGACACCAAGCAACCCUGCCCUCUUCUUUCUAAAGAGGGAGCAGACACCCAAGGAUUCUUACCCGAGUUAACAGCUCCCCUCGCCUUGUGCAUUGCGGUCACUUGUAUCUCAGCAAGAAUGAGCUGGAAGUCUGCCGAUGGAGGUGGGAGAGAAAAUGGGUCCUGGGUCCUUCUGGUCCUAGGGCAGGGGGGGCCCGGCUCCAAUGCCCUCCGGCCCAGCAUUUCAGGUGUCCGUGUCACCUGCCUGAGCCCCUGCUACUCCACUCGCCUGUUGGUGAGGGACAGAAAAGCUCCCCCAUUAGGCUACUGUGAGGACUAUGGGAGAUGGUCAGCACCAACUUGUGGAAUUACAACCCAGAGACAGAGAUGACAGAGCACAUCAACUACACUGAGUAGAAGUUGCUCUCUCUUCCAUAAUGCUUCCUCCAUUGUUUUUUGCAUCAUAUCAAGCACAGGAAGAUACACCUGGAUCUAACACAUGUUGUAAAUCAACUAUACUCCCCUCCCCCCUAAAAAAAAAAAAAAAAAAAAAAAACCAUGAGGGUAGGAGGGGCUUUGUGGGAGCCCUCCUUUCCUCUCCUCCCACCCCUCCACCUCAUCACAGAUGCUAUUGGCGAGCCUCUGUCAUAAGCCACAUGCCCGCUCAGCAUUUUCUCACUAAAUGCUCCCCACACCACCCUCAAAAGACGAGAGCUGCCUCCC